rnacentral:rRNA from 1 species
GAUGAACGCUAGCGGCAGGCUUAAUACAUGCAAGUCGUGGGGCAGCACAGGUAGCAAUACUGGGUGGCGACCGGCAAACGGGUGCGGAACACGUACGCAACCUUCCUUUAAGCGGGGAAUAGCCCAGGGAAACUUGGAUUAAUACCCCAUAAGAUAAUUGGGUGGCAUCACUUGAUUAUUAAAGCUCCGGCACUUAGAGAUGGGCGUGCGGCUGAUUAGGUAGUUGGCGGGGUAACGGCCCACCAAGCCGACGAUCAGUAACUGGUGUGAGAGCACGACCAGUCACACGGGCACUGAGACACGGGCCCGACUCCUACGGGAGGCAGCAGUAAGGAAUAUUGGUCAAUGGACGCAAGUCUGAACCAGCCAUGCCGCGUGGAGGAUGAAGGCCCUCUGGGUUGUAAACUUCUUUUAUUGGGGAAGAAACCCAUCUUUUCUAAGGUGGUUGACGGUACCCAUUGAAUAAGCACCGGCUAACUCCGUGCCAGCAGCCGCGGUAAUACGGAGGGUGCAAGCGUUAUCCGGAUUCACUGGGUUUAAAGGGUGCGUAGGUGGGCAGGUAAGUCAGUGGUGAAAUCUCUAAGCUUAACUUAGAAACUGCCGUUGAUACUAUCUGUCUUGAAUGUAGUGGAGGUGAGCGGAAUAUGUCAUGUAGCGGUGAAAUGCUUAGAUAUGACAUAGAACACCCAUUGCGAAGGCAGCUCGCUACACGGUUAUUGACGCUGAGGCACGAAAGCGUGGGGAUCAAACAGGAUUAGAUACCCUGGUAGUCCACGCCCUAAACGAUGAUUACUCGACAUCAGCGAUACACUGUUGGUGUCUGAGCGAAAGCAUUAAGUAAUCCACCUGGGAAGUACGACCGCAAGGUUG